rnacentral:rRNA from 1 species
UACGUAGGGUGCAAGCGUUAAUCGGAAUUACUGGGCGUAAAGCGUGCGCAGGCGGUUUUGUAAGUUUGUCGUGAAAUCCCCGGGCUUAACCUGGGAAUUGCGAUGAAGACUGCAAGGCUAGAAUCUGGCAGAGGGGGGUAGAAUUCCACGUGUAGCAGUGAAAUGCGUAGAGAUGUGGAGGAACACCGAUGGCGAAGGCAGCCCCCUGGGUCGAGAUUGACGCUCAUGCACGAAAGCGUGGGGAGCAAACAGG